rnacentral:misc_RNA from 1 species
GAUGAAGAACGUAGCGAAAUGCGAUAAGUAAUGUGAAUUGCAGAAUUCAGUGAAUCAUCGAAUCUUUGAACGCACCUUGCGCUCCUUGGUAUUCCGAGGAGCAUGCCUGUUUGAGUGUCAUUAAUAUAUCAACCUCUUCAGCUUAUGCUUGUUGAGUGUUGGAUGGUGGGGGUUUGCUGGUGUCUUAUGAAGUCAGCUCCUCUGAAAUGCAUUAGCGGAACAAUUUGUUGACCGUUCAUUGGUGUGAUAAAAAUAUCUACGCUAUUGACGUCAGUCAGUUCAACUUCUAACAGUCCAUUGACUUGGACAAAUUUUUCAUUAAUGUGACCUCAAAUCAGGUAGGACUACCCGCUGAACUUAAGCAUAUCAAUAAGCGGAGGA